rnacentral:rRNA from 1 species
GUCCACGCCGUAAACGAUGGAUACUAAGCAUUGGAAGUAUCGACCCUUCCAGUGCUGCUAAUUUAAGUUAACACGUUAAGUAUCCCGCCUGGGGAGUACGGCCGCAAGGCUAAAACUCAAAGGAAUAGACGGGGACCCGCACAAGCGGUGGAGCAUGUGGUUUAAUUCGACGAUAAGCGAGGAACCUCACCAAGGUUUGACAUGUAGCUGCAAGGCCUGGAAACAGGUCCGCCUUCGAGGGUGCUACACAGAUGCUGCAUGGUUGUCGU